rnacentral:rRNA from 1 species
CAGCAGCCGCGGGAAUACGAAGGGUGCAAGCGUUAAUCGGAAUUACUGGGCGUAAAGCGUGCGUAGGCGGUUUGUUAAGUCUGCUGUGAAAUCCCCGGGCUCAACCUGGGAAUGGCAGUGGAUACUGGCAAGCUAGAGUGUGUCAGAGGAUGGUGGAAUUCCCGGUGUAGCGGUGAAAUGCGUAGAGGUCGGGAGGAACAUCAGUGGCGAAGGCGGCCAUCUGGGACAACACUGACGCUGAGGCACGAAAGCGUGGGAGCAAACAGGAUUAGAUACCCCCGUAGUCCCUGUCUCUUAUACA